AGCCCUGCUUGCACGGUGGAUUACUGGCGAACGGGUGAGUAACACGUGAGUAACCUGCCCCUGACUCUGGGAUAAGCCCGGGAAACUGGGUCUAAUACCGGAUAUGACUUCCUACUGCAUGGUGGGUUGUUGAAAGAUUUAUCGGUGGGGGAUGGACUCGCGGCCUAUCAGCUUGUUGGUGAGGUAAUGGCUCACCAAGGCGACGACGGGUAGCCGGCCUGAGAGGUGACCCGGCUAUACUGGGACUGAGACACGGCCCAGACUCCUACGGGAGGCAGCAGUGGGGAAUAUUGCACAAUGGGCGGAAGCCUGAUGCAGCGACGCCGCGUGAGGGAUGACGGCCUUCGGGUUGUAAACCUCUUUCAGUAGGGAAGAAGCGAAAGUGACGGUACCUGCAGAAGAAGCGCCGGCUAACUACGUGCCAGCAGCCGCGGUAAUACGUAGGGCGCAAGCGUUAUCCGGAUUUAUUGGGCGUAAAGAGCUCGUAGGCGGUUUGUCGCGUCUGCCGUGAAAGUCCGAGGCUCAACCUCGGAUCUGCGGUGGGUACGGGCAGACUAGAGUGAUGUAGGGGAGACUGGAAUUCCUGGUGUAGCGGUGAAAUGCGCAGAUAUCAGAGGAACACCGAUGGCGAAAGCAGGUCUCUGGGCAUUUACUGACGCUGAGGAGCGAAAGCAUGGGGAGCGAACAGGAUUAGAUACCCUGGUAGUCCAUGCCGUAAACGUUGGGCACUAGUGUGGGGGACAUUCCACGUUUUCCGCGCCGUAGCUAACGCAUUAAGUGCCCCGCCUGGGGAGUACGGCCGCAAGGCUAAAACUCAAAGGAAUUGACGGGGGCCCGCACAAGCGGCGGAGCAUGCGGAUUAAUUCGAUGCAACGCGAAGAACCUUACCAAGGCUUGACAUGUGCCAGACCGCUCCAGAGAUGGGGUUUCCCUUCGGGGCUGGUUCACAGGUGGUGCAUGGUUGUCGUCAGCUCGUGUCGUGAGAUGUUGGGUUAAGUCCCGCAACGAGCGCAACCCUCGUUCCAUGUUGCCAGCACGUAGUGGUGGGGACUCAUGGGAGACUGCCGGGGUCAACUCGGAGGAAGGUGGGGAUGACGUCAAAUCAUCAUGCCCCUUAUGUCUUGGGCUUCACGCAUGCUACAAUGGCCGGUACAAUGGGUUGCGAUACUGUGAGGUGGAGCUAAUCCCUAAAAGCCGGUCUCAGUUCGGAUUGGGGUCUGCAACUCGACCCCAUGAAGUCGGAGUCGCUAGUAAUCGCAGAUCAGCAACGCUGCGGUGAAUACGUUCCCGGGCCUUGUACACACCGCCCGUCAAGUCACGAAAGUUGGUAACACCCGAAGCCGAUGGCCUAACCACCUUGUGUGGGGGGAGUCGUCGAAGGUGGGACUGGCGAUUGGGACUAAGUCGAACAAG
rnacentral:rRNA from 1 species